rnacentral:rRNA from 1 species
GAUGAACGCUGGCGGCGUGCCUAAUACAUGCAAGUCGAGCGAACAGACGAGGCGCUUGCUCCUCUGACGCUAGCGGCGGCCGGGUGAGUAACACGUGGCUAACCUACCUAUAAGACUGGGAUAAAUUCGGGACACCGGAGCUAAUACCGGAUAAUCUCUUGAACCGCAUGGUUCAAUAGUGAAAGACGGUUUUGCUGUCACUUCUUGCUGGAUCCGCGCCGCAUUAGCUAGUUGGUAAGGUAACGGCAUACCAAGGCAACGAAGCGUAGCCGACCUGUGAACGUGAUCGGCCACACUGGAACUGAGACACGUGCCAGACUCCUACGGGAGGCCUCAGUAGGGAAUCUUCCGCAAUGGGCGAAAGCCUGACGGAACAACGCCGCUUGAGGGAAGAGGGUCAGCGGAUCUUAAGACUCUGUUAGUAGAGAAGAACAAGGGUGUAAGGAACAGUGCACGUCUUGACGGUACCUGAUAAGAAAGCCACGGCUAACUACGUG